UUGUCGUUCCCCCUGCACAAAUAAACCUGUUUCCUUCUAUCCCUGUGUGUUUGCAUCCCACGGCUCACAGGGACGCUUGGUCUCAGACAC
rnacentral:snoRNA from 1 species